CGUACUUGGUGUUACUGCGAAGGGGGGACGGAGAAGGCUAUGUUGGCCGGGCGACGGUUGUCCCGGUUUAAGCGUGUAGGUGUGUGUUCCAGGUAAAUCCGGUUCACUUUAACACUGAGGCGUGACGACGAGGCACUACGGUGCUGAAGCAACAAAUGCCCUGCUUCCAGGAAAAGCCUCUAAGCAUCAGGUAACACGAAAUCGUACCCCAAACCGACACAGGUGGUCAGGUAGAGAAUACCAAGGCGCUUGAGAGAACUCGGGUGAAGGAACUAGGCAAAAUGGUGCCGUAACUUCGGGAGAAGGCACGCUGACACGUAGGUGAAGUGAUUUACUCAUGGAGCUGAAGUCAGUCGAAGAUACCAGCUGGCUGCAACUGUUUAUUAAAAACACAGCACUGUGCAAACACGAAAGUGGACGUAUACGGUGUGACGCCUGCCCGGUGCCGGAAGGUUAAUUGAUGGGGUCAGCGUAAGCGAAGCUCCUGAUCGAAGCCCCGGUAAACGGCGGCCGUAACUAUAACGGUCCUAAGGUAGCGAAAUUCCUUGUCGGGUAAGUUCCGACCUGCACGAAUGGCGUAAUGAUGGCCAGGCUGUCUCCACCCGAGACUCAGUGAAAUUGAACUCGCUGUGAAGAUGCAGUGUACCCGCGGCAAGACGGAAAGACCCCGUGAACCUUUACUAUAGCUUGACACUGAACAUUGAGCCUUGAUGUGUAGGAUAGGUGGGAGGCUUUGAAGUGUGGACGCCAGUCUGCAUGGAGCCGACCUUGAAAUACCACCCUUUAAUGUUUGAUGUUCUAACGUGGACCCGUAAUCCGGGUUGCGGACAGUGUCUGGUGGGUAGUUUGACUGGGGCGGUCUCCUCCUAAAGAGUAACGGAGGAGCACGAAGGUUGGCUAAUCCUGGUCGGACAUCAGGAGGUUAGUGCAAUGGCAUAAGCCAGCUUGACUGCGAGCGUGACGGCGCGAGCAGGUGCGAAAGCAGGUCAUAGUGAUCCGGUGGUUCUGAAUGGAAGGGCCAUCGCUCAACGGAUAAAAGGUACUCCGGGGAUAACAGGCUGAUACCGCCCAAGAGUUCAUAUCGACGGCGGUGUUUGGCACCUCGAUGUCGGCUCAUCACAUCCUGGGGCUGAAGUAGGUCCCAAGGGUAUGGCUGUUCGCCAUUUAAAGUGGUACGCGAGCUGGGUUUAGAACGUCGUGAGACAGUUCGGUCCCUAUCUGCCGUGGGCGCUGGAGAACUGAGGGGGGCUGCUCCUAGUACGAGAGGACCGGAGUGGACGCAUCACUGGUGUUCGGGUUGUCAUGCCAAUGGCACUGCCCGGUAGCUAAAUGCGGAAGAGAUAAGUGCUGAAAGCAUCUAAGCACGAAACUUGCCCCGA
rnacentral:rRNA from 1 species